UACGGAGGGUGCAAACGUUGCUCGGAAUCAUUGGGCGUAAAGCGCACGUAGGCGGACUGUUAAGUCGGACGUGAAAUCCCUCAGCUUAACUGAGGAAGUGCAUUCGAAACUGGCAGUCUUGAGUACGGGAGAGGGUCGCGGAAUUCCCGGUGUAGAGGUGAAAUUCGUAGAUAUCGGGAGGAACACCAGUGGCGAAGGCGGCGGCCUGGACCGAUACUGACGCUGAGGUGCGAAAGCGUGGGGAGCAAACGGG
rnacentral:rRNA from 1 species